CCUAUCUUCUUUUCUCUCCAUCUUCGGUCCGCCUCCCCCUCUCUCCCUAUUUAUUCCAGUUCCCUCUCCCCAUCCCCCUCUCUGAUGAAGGGUCUAGGCCCGAAACGUCAGCUUUUGUGCUCCUGAGAUGCUGCUUGGCCUGCUGUGUUCAUCCAGCCUCACAUUUUAUUAUCUUGGAAUCUCCAGCAUCUGCAGUUCCCAUUAUCUCAAGCACUGUAAUUAGCAUCACUUUCUGUAUGGCCGUCCCUGCUCCGGGUCUGCAUCCCGCUGGCCGUCCCCGCUCCGGUCCGGGUCUGCAUCCCGUUGGCCGUCCCUGCUCCGGUCCGGGUCUCUAGCCUGCUCCGGCCUGGCCCUCAGCUACACAGAUGAUGUCAUCGCUGCUACAAGGAAAACCUCAGACAGUGGUCUUUCCCCACUGUGCCUUGGCGGCAGCUGGUCCAUGAUUUAGUGUCCCUCAGCAUGUAGGCCUGGACCUUGGAAUAUGCCAGUCUGCAGCCCUCGGUCAGGGCCAACUCCUUGUUAUGGAAGACCAACAGGUUUUGGGCAAACCAAAGAGCGCCUUUCACCAAACUGAUGGUCCUCCAGGCGCAGUGUAUGUUUGUCUCAAUGUGCAUCCCGAGGAACAAAUUGUAGAUCACAGUGUCCCACAUCAUGGAGUUGCUCGAGAUGAACCUUGACAAAAAUCACUACAUCUAUCUCCAGGCUUGCUUUGCAAGGACACAUUUCCAAAAGGAACAAAAACAAAGUUGCUAGAAAAAACUCAGUGGGUCUGGCAGCACCUGUGAAGGGAAAAAACAGAGUUGGUGUGUUUCAGAGAUAAUAGGAACUGCAGAUGCUGGAGAAUCUGAGAUAACAAGGUGUGGAGGUGUAGAGGUGAAGAGUCUAGACCCGAAACGUUAGCCUUCCUGCUCCUCUGAUGCUGCUUGACCUGCUGUGUUCAUCCAGCUCUGCACCUUGUUAUCUCAGAUUCUCCAGCAUCAGCAGUUCCUACUAUCUCUAAACAAGCUGGGGUUAAUUUCAUAUGCAAAGAAAAAGUCGAUGGUUUUUGUUAAAACAAUGAAAGAAUUUGUUUGGGUGUAUUGAAAGGACUUACCAUUGUGGGGAAUCCAAAACCAGAGUCCAUUUAUUCACAGGUAAUUAUUACAAAAGCCCCCAAAGAGUUUUGGAAAGAAAUUCUUUACUCAAAAACUACUAAAAAUGUGAAACAUUAUUAUACUGAAUGGUUAAGGUGAAUGGAAUAGACGUAUUUAAGAGGAUGUUAGAUAAAUUGCUGGUGGGGAAAGGAAUGGAAGGAAAUGCUGAAUGGGUUAGAUAACGAUGGAUAGGAGAAAAUUCAGAAGGAGUAUGAAUGCUGACAAAUGUCAAUUGGACCAAAAGGUAUAAUUAUUUCACUGUUUCAAUAAACGCUGUGUUCAACUUGUGUAUAGUCUUGUCUUAGCAAGACCUACUAAGGCUCAGCCAUGAAAUAAUGAAUGUUAGAGCAGUCUCAAGGGAGUAUUUGGCCUUCCCUUGCUCCUAUUUCUUACGUUCUAUUUCAAUAAAAAUACUUAUUUUAACUCAAAA